CUUUUCUGUUGUACGCCUUCCCAGAUUCCCCCGCCGCAAGGAGCCCGCCCCCUGCCGCGGCCACCGCGUCCAGAGAAUUACAGGAACGAUGCAGUUCUUCACAGUCGGCAUCUCCCAAUAUAUAUAGCCUCAUGGAUUUCAACGGCGUUAUAGAUCCUGCAUUAUACGACCUUUGUGAUGGUUGACUCAGUGCUGAAGUAGAACUCUGGUUGCUAUGUGUUCGAAGCUGGUGUGAAGUAGAUGAGAUACAGUACCCUCCUGAUGUGUGGAACCUUUUGUGGAAGAGCAUUGUGUGUGAUCUUUGGUUGUGCUUCAUCGGAGACUAACUGUGUUACUCGAGUAGGUUUUGUAAGUGAAUCCGUUGGUUAUUGAGGGCUAGUGAUUAUGGUUGUA